rnacentral:rRNA from 1 species
AUGCACGCUGGCGGCGUGCCUAAUACAUGCAAGUCGAGCGAACAGACGAGGAGCUUGCUCCUCUGACGUUAGCGGCGGACGGGUGAGUAACACGUGGAUAACCUACCUAUAAGACUGGGAUAACUUCGGGAAACCGGAGCUAAUACCGGAUAAUAUAUUGAACCGCAUGGUUCAAUAGUGAAAGACGGUUUUGCUGUCACUUAUAGAUGGAUCCGCGCCGCAUUAGCUAGUUGGUAAGGUAACGGCUUACCAAGGCAACGAUGCGUAGCCGAGCUGAGAGGGUGAUCGGCCACACUGGAACUGAGACACGGUCCAGACUCCUACGGGAGGCAGCAGUAGGGAAUCUUCCGCAAUGGGCGAAAGCCUGACGGAGCAACGCCGCGUGAGUGAUGAAGGUCUUCGGAUCGUAAAACUCUGUUAUUAGGGAAGAACAAAUGUGUAAGUAACUAUGCACGUCUUGACGGUACCUAAUCAGAAAGCCACGGCUAACUACGUG